AGGGUACAAGAGGGGAGGAGAGAGACACAGAUCACCCAUGGGUCAGCGGUGUAGUGAGGACCCAGGACUUCACAGCCUUGUGUGGGGAAGGGAAGGAGGAAGAAAUGUGGGUAAGCCUCAGGCCAAGCUGCUGCACUGUGAGGCCACUUGGACUCACACCCACAGCCUGGGCUCAUUCCUGGCUGGUGGCCGGUAUGAGGUCUCACCCUAGUUCCACUCCUCGUGGGGGCUGGCAAAGGCACAAUUCUCGGCCUGUUUGAGGGUAAUCCAGCCACAGCACCCCAAGCCAGUGCCUGCUCCCUCCCUCCCCUAGGAGUGCUGGGGAAUCCGAGGUGACUGCAAGGAGCCUGACAAGUGCUGCUGGAGACACAAGCAGUGCACUGGGCACAUCAUCUACCCUUUCGCCUCUGACUGUGUCCGCCACAGCCUGCACCUACACUCUGUCAACCACUGCAACUGUAAUUCUAGGCUGAAGGACUGUUCAGAGGAUAGCAGCAGCUCCCAGGGCGCGGGCCCAACCUGCUCCCAUGUCAUCGAGUCCCCUUGCUUUGAGCUCACACCGGAGGAGGAGCAUGUGGAGCGAUUCCAGUAUGGCUGGUGCAAAAGCUACAGACCUGUUUCUGUGGCAGUGAUCCACCAUCCACUCUACCAUGAGUGUGGGGCAGAUGAUCUAAAUGAAGAAGAGGAAGAGGAGGAGGAGGAGGAGGAAAGCAAGCCCCCCAUCCCGACGCA
rnacentral:sRNA from 1 species